rnacentral:misc_RNA from 1 species
CCAAUGUUCUCAGGAAGUUAAUGUAUCUGGAGUAAACAUUUUUCCCCUUCCAACUCUUUCGUCGAAUUUUGCUUUACAAAUUAUACUCCGGAUAUUUGUAUGAUCUGGAACAAAAAGAACUUAAAGAACUUUGUUUCAAUAAAAGGAAUUAGCGGAUUACACAUGGAAAGUGCGUUUGGCCUGGAUUAGAAUUCUCUACACUGCAAGGUUAGUUACAUUUUAUCAUUACAAGAGGGAUGUCGUGACACUAAUAAAAAUGUGUUUAUAUAGAAUCAAUAUAGACCAUAAAAUAUUUAUUAAAUACUUUUUUUUGCAUCAAAAUAUUAGCUGUGUGGCAUAUCGUAUAAAUGAGAAAUUAUAAGCUGUAGAUAAUGUCUCUACUUGUAGGUUUUAUACCGUUGACAGACUGCUAUAAUAAUGGAUAACACUCCAAUUCUGUGCAGUUAUAUUAUAGAUAUCUUUACACAAAUAUUAAUUGAUGACACAGUUAGAACUCAUUAAUAAUAACUCUUAGAAGUUACAUAGAUUUUGUCAUAAGAGCUUAACUAGUUAAGAAUUACAGAAAUAUUUUAUUAUGUGUUCUUUUAAUUAGUGAUUACUCGAGGCUAGAAUUUUCUGUUUGAUUUACUUCUAAAUUGACCUAUGUUUCGCUUCUUACGCCUACUGGGUUGUAAUGAGGGUUCGAGAAGGAUAUAGGCUGUUUAAAUAGAAGCAUUUUCAGGUCGAGGUAAUAGAAAAUUUCUAGUAUCCUUGCGUUUUACUAGAGUCUGAAGGUGAUUUUAGAUUCCUUAUACAUUGCAAAAUAGUCAAUACAUCUCUAGGUAAAAUCAGUGAUUAUUUAGCAUAGGAAUCUGUUUAUCUAGUUUUUUUUUUUAGUUUUCAUAUUUUCUAUUUAGACGGAUUUACUCAUCGAAAUCUUUCACUUUUAAUUUAACGUAAUCAACUAGAAUUGAGGAGAUUAGUAUUUGCGUCUAAUCUACCUAUUGGACUUAUAAUACAAAUGAAUUUCUUUCAUAUAAUAGAAAUAAUUUCUAAAAGACAUUUCUAUUUGAAUUCAACUAGGAUAAAAAGAGAAGAGUUGUUUGACAGAUAAUAAAUUGGUGGGAGAAUCUCAUUUAACCUAAUCUGCAAAUUUAGCCAAAGAAGUUUCUAUGACCCAAUUUGCAUAAUGAAGAAACUGGUCACACGAUGUUUUUUUUGAUGUUAGCAAUGUUGCCGUCUCUUGCGCAAUUUUUCCUUUUGGAUGCUAAAUGAAAAUUACAGUGUUAUAUAGUUGUAAGGGAGUUUACAGCCGAACCAUGUUAGUGGUUUGAUACAAAUUGUAUAUUAAAUAUGCAAGGGAGAAUAAUUACAACUAACACACGCUGGUUACGCACAGUUGCAGAGAGAAACGUGAUUCGCUCGCACCAGACGUUUCAAAAUAUACAGCAAGAUAAUGUUGCAAAUGAAAUAGUGGACGUUUUCACUAGGAAUAAGAUUUUUAACAAGAAUUCAUAAACAUAUUAUCGUAUCUAAUUCUAGUAAACUACCUGAAUUAGCUAUACGUUGAAGUAAAUUAUGAAAACCUUUACAUGAACCUAUAUCCGAUCUUUUAAUGAAUCUGUUAAAAACGUUCCUUUAUCCUUUAGCAUUGUAUACCAUAUGUGAAAUCUCAUUUAAGUUGUUUUUAAAGGUUUUGUUAUUUUGCAAUAAGUAUAUUUUCGCUUUAAUAAUAAGGACUAAAAAACGUACUAGAAGGUAAGAGAUCAUUAAUAUAAUUAUUAUAUACUCUUUUAUAUGUUUCAAUUUAGUUCUAAAAUAUGGAUAAGCAAUUAGAACAUAUUUUGCUGAGACGGCUAAAUUGAAUACUGAACACUGAACGCUAUGGGCGUUAGUCAAUCGUCUGUUAGCGGUAGAGUUCAAAACUUUUUUAUUGGGACUGAACUGGAUAACCGUCGUCAUCCACAUUAUACGAAGAAAGCAGGGAAACUGCAAACUCUUAGGAAGAAGGUGCUUCGAGUGAAACGCUCCUCCCGGUCAUUCGACUAUGGAAAGGCUGUGAAAGAAUUGACUAAUGGAUGGUGUACGAAAAAUAUUCAAGAAUUGCUAAACGUUUUUAAUAGCUUGAAGGAGUUAAAAGAAGUCACUCUUCUUGCUCAGAGUGCGAGACCGUUAUCAUCGUCUCUAAGGGAUAAUCUGGAAAAUUUAUACAAUAGGAAGUACUGCGCAGAUGUUCAGCUUAUGUAUGACGGUGAAAUUUUUUCCGCACAUCGGUCAAUACUAUCCUCGAGAUGCCAGUACUUCCGCAAUUUAUUUUCUAAAUAUAAGAGAUUUGAUAGGCCAAUACCAAUCGAUAUAAGGACGCUGGGCGUCGACGCUGCUCUAUUUGGCGAUUUAUUGCGAUUUCUUUACACGCAAUAUUUGGAUAUUGGUAACGAUUCAUCUAGACCGGUUAUAGAAAAGCUUAAGCAUGAGUUUGGUAUGCCGAAUCGCCUCGAAGACGACUUAAGAGCACUCUUAACUAGGGAUAUUAGGGAUUACGAUUGUGUUUUGGUAUUUUCAACGUCCAAUUACCUAAAUUCAUUGGGUGAUGCAAGAAGUGACAUUGAAGAGUACAGAUGCCAUAAAGCUUUAUUGGCCUCCCGAUCGCCUUUCUUUAGAAAUGUACUGGAAAAGCGCAGACGAAAUUAUCCGGAAAUAAUUCAGCUGGACGAGGCUGUUAUACCUCGGAUAUACGCUCGAACUAUUCUUCAUGCAAUUUAUACGGACAUUCUUGAUACCACACUCAUUCCGAACAUCCCUCAGUCUUCUUUAGCCGACGCUAAUGCUUUAGCAAAUUCCGAAAGAUCGAAUCUUCCAACCCAUGUUCGACAUACGAUUGACCUGUACCAGAUAGCCAGAUUUAUAGAAUUUGGUAAGAUGGCAGAAAAUUGCGAGAAUCUCAUCUGGCAAGCGGUGAACGUGGAGACUUGCUGUGAAAUAAUUAAUUGGGCUCGUAUGAAGCACGGAUCGAAAUGGGUUUUAAGGCAGUGCGAAGUGUUUGUGCAAGAAGAAUUUUCCCAGUUAGUUCAGUCUGGUGUUUGGCUGGAUUUGGACGAAGAGACGGUUAAGAGUGUUUUAACGUCAGACUUUUUGCAAGCGUCCGAGGGCGAAAUCCUAUCUGCCGUAAUUAAAUGGGGCGAACAGCAAUUGAUUAAAAGAAUAGAGGAACGAGAACCGAAUCUCCUUAACCAUACAACUCAUAGUGUUUCGAAGAAAGGUGUAAAACGACGAGAUUUAGAUGACACCGAGUUAAAAUCUAUAAUUUCUGAACUGUUAUCGUUAGUUCGCUAUAAUUUUAUUACUUCAAGUGAUAUGGAAACUCUUCUGGCGGCCGACAAGAGGGGAUUGGUAAUGCCAUCUAGUUGCCGAGGUGUUGAUUUAUUAAACUAUAGUACGGGUAAAGGAUGGAUUGAUCUUAUUCAGCAUCCAGAGUAUAGACGCUAUCCUAGAUGUUUCCAGCCUUAUAUUGACGAAUUGCAGGCGGUUCUUGAGGAAAAAAUGACCGAAGACGACUGGAGCGUUAGUAGUAUUUCUGUUACUUCCAAUUCAACAUUUAGUAAACCAGAUAUUGUGUCUGACACUAUGCCCCUACCGGGCGAGAGUACUUUGAACAGAAUGGAAAAAAGAUUAAAACAGAUUGAAGCCAAUCAUAGACUAUAUUAUGCUCAUUCAAACUUCAUAAAUGCGGAAUGUCUUAGACAAUUUGAAUUAAGAGUUGUUAGAGAAUUUGGUUUACCAGAUUCAUCAGUGGACCUCUUGAAGAGCCGAAAUGUUUCAACGCCUCCACUUGCUCAGGGCAAGUUUGUUGUUGCAAGAUCCAAUCCAAUCCAAGCAACCAAAACUCCCGAAGCGCCUUGCAACAGUGAAGAGUUGCCUGACGUCGCUCGUCUAAAUGUAAAUCGAACCAACGAACUCGACUUCGUAGGAACGCCAUCGUAUUACUUUUGAUUUCCGUUCUUCAAUUAAAAAAUUAUGACUUUUAAUUAAUGGUUAUUUUAUAUAUAAAUAUAUCGAAUUCUAUUUAAAUUUAAUUCAAUUAUAUUUUUCUCUCGUUCAUCUAAACUUUUCAAAAUCGAUUUCUAACAGAUCGCAAUAAAAAGAAACGAAUUGAAUAGCAAUUUUAAAAGUUUGUAUUGACCAUGUGACUGACGUAUUUAAGAAACUUCUUUGUUUUAUAAACUUGCAAAGCAAGUAAAGUAUUACAAGUCUAAGAACAUCAUUCUAGGAUCCUCUACAGCACUCUUUAUCUUUUUCAAGAAUGUAACGCCCUCUCUUCCAUCGAUGAGUCUGUGAUCGUAUGUUAAGGCAAUGUACAUCAUUGGCCUUAUCUCAACUUUUCCAUCAACGGCUACAGGCCUCUGGAAGACUCCAUGCAUUCCUAGAAUGGCAGAUUGAGGAGGAUUAAUUAUUGGUGUACCAAACAUUGAACCAAAGACCCCGCCAUUGGAAACUGUAAAUGUUCCACCUUCCAUAUCUUCUAUAGCUAAAGCGCCUGUCUUUGCUUUCUCCCCCAGAUCAACAAGUGACUUUUCUAUAUCAGCAAACGACAUAGAUUCAACAUUUCUAACAACAGGCACAACAAGGCCCUUAGGUGUUGCUACUGCCACGGAAAUAUCUACAUAGUCUCUGUAAAGAAUAUGAUUAUCAUCAAUAACAGCAUUCACUACAGGUUGAUCGGUCAAGGCGUAAGCAGAAGCUUUUAAGAAUGCUGACAUAAAUCCUAGUUUGAAACCGUGCUUCUUCUGAAAAGCUUCUUGAUAUUGCUUACGAAGUGAUAUUAUGUUUGACAUAUCAAUUUCAUUGAAAGUUGUCAGCAUGGCACAAGUAUUCUGAGCUUCCUUUAGUCUUUGGGCAAUUUUCAGCCGCAUACGAUUCAUUUUUACCUUCUUUUCCGAUCUCUUUUCGUUUGAGAGUGAGAAUGCAUUAAACUGAGCUUCUUGAGCUUUGACACUCUCUGCAGGCUUUGAAGAUAUCGGUUGACUAGGAACUUGCGGAACC